AGAAUCAACGCUGGCGGCGUGCCUAACACAUGCAAGUCGAACGAGAAAGUGGAGCAAUCCAUGAGUAAAGUGGCGACCGGGUGAGUAACACGUGACUAACCUACCUUCGAGUGGGGGAUAACCUCGGGAAACCGGGGCUAAUACCGCAUAACAUCUUUGGAGUGGAAAUUUCGGAGAUCAAAGGGGCAAUUCGCUUGAAGAGGGGGUCGCGGCUGAUUAGCUAGUUGGCGGGUAACGCCCACAAGGCUUAGAUCGGUA
rnacentral:rRNA from 1 species